UUGAUCCUGGCUCACAACGAACGCUGGCGGCGGGGUUUAGGCAUGCAAGUCGAGGGAGAAAGCCCUUCGGGGUGAGUACACCGGCGCAAGGGUGAGUAAUGGCUAGUUAAUGUACCUCGAGGACCUGGAUAAUUCCCCGAAAGGGGUUGUAAAACGGGAUGAGACCACGUGUACCACGGUGCAGGUGAUCAAAGUCGUGGGAUCCUUCGGGACCACGAGCCUCGGGAGCGGACUAGCUCCGAUUAGCUUGUUGGUGGGGUCACGGCCUACCAAGGCGAUGAUCGGUAGCCGGCCUGAGAGGGUGUUCGGCCACACUGGGACUGAGACACUGCCCAGACUCCUACGGGAGGCUGCAGUCGCGAAUCUUCCACAAUGGGCGCAAGCCUGAUGGAGCCACGCCGCGUGCAGGACGAAGGCUUUAGGGUUGUAAACUGCUGUCGAGAUGGGGGAAGGGCGUACGGUGAAUAGUCGUGCGCUUGACUGCCAUCUGAAGGAAGCACCGGCUAAACACGUGCCAGCAGCCGCGGUAAUACGUGUGGCGCAAGCGUUGUUCGGAAUUACUGGGCAUAAAGGGUGCGUAGGCGGCCCGUUAAGUCAGGGGUGAAAGCCGUUGGCCCAACCAACGAAUUGCCUCUGAUACUGAUGGGCUCGAGUGUGCUAGGGGUGAGCGGAACGAGUGGUGUAGCGGUGAAAUGCGUAGAUAUCACUCGGAAGGCCGGAGCCGAAGGGGGCUCACUGGGGCACAACUGACGCUGAUGCACGAAAGCGUGGGGAGCAAACAGGAAUUGAUACCCUGGUAGUCCACGCCGUAAACGUUGAGCACUAGGUG
rnacentral:rRNA from 1 species